AUGAAGCUAAAUGCCUCUGCGGGGCCUGAUGGUUUCAAUGUCGAAUUCUACAUUGCUACCUGGAGUUGGAUUGGUGACGAUGUCACUGCUAUGGUGAGAAAUUUUUACCAGACAUGUAUAAUGCCAUCACAUAUUAGUGAUACUCACAUUGAUCUUAUUCCUAUGAAAUUGGUCUCAAAAAUACCUUCUGACUAUCGACCUAUCAUCCUUUGCAAUGUCAUUUAUAAGAUCAUUUCCAAAACCUUGGCCAACAGAUUGAAGCCUCACCUUCCUGACUAUAUUGAUCCUUCCCAACAAGCCUUCAUUAAAGGUAGACGCAUAUCCAAUAAUAUCAUCUUAGCCCAAGAGAUCACUCACACUUUUGCCCUUAAGUCUUGGAAACAACAAGCGUUCUUGCUUAAAAUUGAUUUGGCCAAGGCUUUUGAUCGCCUUGAAUGA
rnacentral:rRNA from 1 species